rnacentral:sRNA from 1 species
GCCGGGCGUUGUGGCGGGCGCCUGUGAUCCCAGCUACUUGGGAGGCGGAGGCAGGAGACUCGCUUGAGCCCAGGAGUUGGAGGUUGCUGUGAGCUGUAAUGCCACGGCACUCUACCCAGGGGGAUAGCUUGAGGCUCUGUCUCAAAAAAAAAAAAAAAAAAAAAAAAAAAAAAGUCUCGGUUUGUCGCCCUCGGUAGAGUGACUUGGUAUCAUAGCUCACAGCAACCUCAAACUCUUGGGCUAAUGUGAUCCUCCUGCC